AGCAGCCGCGGUAAUUCCAGCUCCAAUAGCGUAUAUUAAAGUUGUUGCAGUUAAAAAGCUCGUAGUUGAAUUUCGGGGUUAGUAGGUUGGUCAUGCCUCUGGUAUGUACUGGUCUCACUGAUUCCUCCUUCCUGAUGAACCGUAAUGCCAUUAAUUUGGUGUUGCGGGGAAUUUGGACUGUUACUUUGAAAAAAUUAGAGUGUUUAAAGCAAGCUAACGCUUGAAUACAUUAGCAUGGAAUAAUGAAAUAGGACGUUCGAUCCUAUUUUGUUGGUUUCUAGGAUUGACGUAAUGAUUAAUAGGGAUAGUUGGGGGCAUUAGUAUUCAAUUGUCAGAGGUGAAAUUCUUGGAUUUAUUGAAGACUAACUACUGCGAAAGCAUUUGCCAAGGAUGUUUUCAUUAAUCAAGAACGAAAGUUAGGGGAUCGAAGACGAUCAGAUACCGUCGUAGUCUUAACCAUAAACUAUGCCGACUAGGGAUCGGAUGAUGUUAAUUUUUAAUGACUCAUUCGGCGCCUUAC
rnacentral:rRNA from 2 species